GACGAACGCUGGCGGCGUGCCUAAUACAUGCAAGUCGAACGAACUCUGGUAUUGAUUGGUGCUUGCAUCAUGAUUUACAUUUGAGUGAGUGGCGAACUGGUGAGUAACACGUGGGAAACCUGCCCAGAAGCGGGGGAUAACACCUGGAAACAGAUGCUAAUACCGCAUAACAACUUGGACCGCAUGGUCCGAGUUUGAAAGAUGGCUUCGGCUAUCACUUUUGGAUGGUCCCGCGGCGUAUUAGCUAGAUGGUGAGGUAACGGCUCACCAUGGCAAUGAUACGUAGCCGACCUGAGAGGGUAAUCGGCCACAUUGGGACUGAGACACGGCCCAAACUCCUACGGGAGGCAGCAGUAGGGAAUCUUCCACAAUGGACGAAAGUCUGAUGGAGCAACGCCGCGUGAGUGAAGAAGGGUUUCGGCUCGUAAAACUCUGUUGUUAAAGAAGAACAUAUCUGAGAGUAACUGUUCAGGUAUUGACGGUAUUUAACCAGAAAGCCACGGCUAACUACGUGCCAGCAGCCGCGGUAAUACGUAGGUGGCAAGCGUUGUCCGGAUUUAUUGGGCGUAAAGCGAGCGCAGGCGGUUUUUUAAGUCUGAUGUGAAAGCCUUCGGCUCAACCGAAGAAGUGCAUCGGAAACUGGGAAACUUGAGUGCAGAAGAGGACAGUGGAACUCCAUGUGUAGCGGUGAAAUGCGUAGAUAUAUGGAAGAACACCAGUGGCGAAGGCGGCUGUCUGGUCUGUAACUGACGCUGAGGCUCGAAAGUAUGGGUAGCAAACAGGAUUAGAUACCCUGGUAGUCCAUACCGUAAACGAUGAAUGCUAAGUGUUGGAGGGUUUCCGCCCUUCAGUGCUGCAGCUAACGCAUUAAGCAUUCCGCCUGGGGAGUACGGCCGCAAGGCUGAAACUCAAAGGAAUUGACGGGGGCCCGCACAAGCGGUGGAGCAUGUGGUUUAAUUCGAAGCUACGCGAAGAACCUUACCAGGUCUUGACAUACUAUGCAAAUCUAAGAGAUUAGACGUUCCCUUCGGGGACAUGGAUACAGGUGGUGCAUGGUUGUCGUCAGCUCGUGUCGUGAGAUGUUGGGUUAAGUCCCGCAACGAGCGCAACCCUUAUUAUCAGUUGCCAGCAUUAAGUUGGGCACUCUGGUGAGACUGCCGGUGACAAACCGGAGGAAGGUGGGGAUGACGUCAAAUCAUCAUGCCCCUUAUGACCUGGGCUACACACGUGCUACAAUGGAUGGUACAACGAGUUGCGAACUCGCGAGAGUAAGCUAAUCUCUUAAAGCCAUUCUCAGUUCGGAUUGUAGGCUGCAACUCGCCUACAUGAAGUCGGAAUCGCUAGUAAUCGCGGAUCAGCAUGCCGCGGUGAAUACAUUCCCGGGCCUUGUACACACCGCCCGUCACACCAUGAGAGUUUGUAACACCCAAAGUCGGUGGGGUGACCUUUUAGGAACCAGCCGCCUAAGGUGGGACAGAUGAUUAGGGUG
rnacentral:rRNA from 1 species